AUUGCCUUUGAACCUGUCUGAUUAAGAGGCCAUUUUUGUAAUUCAAAUAUUGGAGUGAGCCUAGGCUCCAGAAUUUUAGCAAGUGUUCGAUUUGUGGGGGGUCCUCAACGUCUGGAAUUAUCUGGGUGUCUUGCUCAAUAAAUUCGAAAAUGCGUCUAAGGUCAAGGUCACCCUUUUUUCUUGCUGGACUAUUCCCAAGAUAAUGCCAAGAACGGGAAGCAUCCUCCUUAUCAUCGGUCAUGUACUGAACAAAGUCUGCCUCGCCACUCUGGUGGUUUAGAACUCCCAAAGUGACGGAUAACUUGUCAAUGACUACAAGUCCAAAGUUGCACGCCAAACCCAGGUUGACGUGCAGGAUUUCAGUGUGAAACUGCAGCAUAGGGGCGUCAAAUAUUAUGUAAUAUUGUCGACAUAACGGUUUUGUAUUACUAAAAAUGUAGGUCUCCCAGCGUAUGCUCUCAGAUUUUGGCCAAAUUAGUGCCGAUCAAUCACAAAUUUAAUAAAUAUGAAAUUUGCAAAAGACAUGACCUCCCUUGGCGGAAAUAUUGCAUCCGAAGAGGAGAAAACGGACCUUAAAGUUGACAAAUUUUACACUUUGCAAAUUUUCUCCUCUUCGUAUGCGAAUAUCUCUGCCAAACCUGAGCCCUGGCAGAUCGUGGUUUUUUCAAAUUUGGUGUCGAUUAAAUUAGUGAUCGAUUGACACGAGUUGGGUCAAAAUCUGAGCGCAUACGCUGGGAGACUUCCAUCGUAAGAACACACUUUAUCAUCCCAAAUAUAAGUUGUUGCAUCAAUCUGAAGUUUCGGAGAGACCAAUGGUAUCCAAAUACGGGUAAUAUCGUGCCCAUCACUUUCCUCACUCAUUUGCACUCCAGCAAAUAUGGCCAGUCCGGUUUCUGGUACUUUGAAUUUACGAGUACGUUAAGUUAAUAUUUAUGGACCAGCAACCAAAGUCAGUGAGAUUAGUAAAGAUAUGUGUAGAACUAUUUAUAAAUAGUACCAGUCAUUUUGGGGUCGAAUUUCGUAAUCACCCAUCCAAUGGCUUUUUCUUUAAAGGAGUAACGCUCCUUGAUUCGAGACCGCGAGACGAUGCUUUUAUCCAGGAUUAAUUUUUUCCGGAUGUGUUGCAAAUCUUGGCCAUGUUGAAGGAGGAGUGAGAAGCAAAGGUUAAAUUUCGAUUUUCUAUAGAAUUAUUUUAGAUUAAUAAAAUAUGUAAAUAUGCAUGCAAAUUAUUAUUCACGAUAAUUAUUAUUCAAGUUACUCACGAUUCAAACUGUUUCAAGCUGCUCUUUAACACAGCGAUCUUUU